GACGAACGCUGGCGGCGUGCUUAACACAUGCAAGUCGAACGGAGAGGCCCUGCUUGCAGGGUACUCGAGUGGCGAACGGGUGAGUAACACGUGGGUGAUCUGCCCUGCACUUCGGGAUAAGCCUGGGAAACUGGGUCUAAUACCGGAUAGGAGCCAUUUUUAGUGUGAUGGUUGGAAAGUUUUUUCGGUGUAGGAUGAGCUCGCGGCCUAUCAGCUUGUUGGUGGGGUAAUGGCCUACCAAGGCGGCGACGGGUAGCCGGCCUGAGAGGGUGGACGGCCACAUUGGGACUGAGAUACGGCCCAGACUCCUACGGGAGGCAGCAGUGGGGAAUAUUGCACAAUGGGCGCAAGCCUGAUGCAGCGACGCCGCGUGGGGGAUGACGGCCUUCGGGUUGUAAACUCCUUUCGCUAGGGACGAAGCUUUUUGUGACGGUACCUGGAUAAGAAGCACCGGCUAACUACGUG
rnacentral:rRNA from 1 species